rnacentral:rRNA from 6 species
UGGCGGCAGUAGCGCGGUGGUCCCACCUGACCCCAUGCCGAACUCAGAAGUGAAACGCCGUAGCGCCGAUGGUAGUGUGGGGUCUCCCCAUGCGAGAGUAGGGAACUGCCAGGUA